CGCCAGCAGCCGCGGUAAAACGUAGGAGGCGAGCGUUAUCCGGAUUUACUGGGUGUAAAGCGCGUGCAGGCGGCUCUUCAAGUGGUGCGUGAAAGCGCCCGGCUCAACCGGGCGAGGCCGUGCCAGACUGAGGAGCUAGAGGUAGGUAGAGGCGUGUGGAAUUCCGGGUGUAGUGGUGAAAUGCGUAGAGAUCCGGAGGAACACCAGAGGCGAAGGCGACACGCUGGGCCUGACCUGACGCUCAGACGCGAAAGCAUGGGGAGCGAACGGGAUUAGAAACCCCGGUAGUCCAUGCCGUAAACGAUGUCGACUAGGUGUCGCGGGGGUAACACCCUGCGGUGCCGAAGCCAACGCGAUAAGUCGACCACCUGGGGACUACGGCCGCAAGGUUAAAACUCAAAGGAAUUGACGGGGGCCCGCACA
rnacentral:rRNA from 1 species